CUCCCUCCCCUACACUUGCAUUGACCACUAGUGACUUGGCCUGCAGCCUCCUGGUCAAGGAGCUGCCCUGGUAGGGUCGGCUGAGCUCCCUCCAAGCUGCGUAUUAACAGAAGUCAGAAGAAAGGCUGCAAAACCCACGCCGGAAGGAGUUGGGGACAAACGAAAAGACCCUUCGCUCACUCAACUUAUCACUUUUGGUGUCUGCAUCUCUCUGCUCUACGUUGAAACCAGUGCUGCGGUGCAUUCCAUUGCCCCUCUUUUCUAGAUGAGGCCUUAGAGACUGGACAGGACUGUUUGCGGGCCGGGGUGAAUUCGCUGGAAGCCCAGGCUCUGGUGCAAGACCGGAGAUAACGGGUAAUACAGAUUCAAACUUUGUGUGGAUAAUAACCUCAGUGCCAGACAUCGUCGACCUGACUCCUACUUCAGGCAUGAUUCUGAGUGAUUUUUGACCAUAUGGUAACAGAUCAAGAAGCCAGACGUCUGCAGGGCUGUGCUUCUGGGAAGGGGUGUGACCUUUGACUCCUGAGCUGCUCAUCUUGCCAUUUGACACAGGUUUGUUCCCUGAUGAGUGAAGUAGUUACACGGCACUCAGAGAUUAACUCUGGAAUGACUGGGAUGAAAUCUCAGCCACACUUACACCCAAGGCACAUGGGGGCGACCAGCAGCCAAACACCUGGACACACACCUUUGCGUCCACAGGCAGUUCACCAAGAUGCACAUUUUAACCAGGAGCAAUGGAUAAAAUUUUUUCACUCUUCUUUUGGCAAAAACGUCUACUUUCCAGAAAGGAAUUACGGCAAUAAAUUCUGAAAAUUUUUUACAUAAUACACUGGAGAUCCUAAAAACUCAAAAUAUUUGAGUAGACACUCAGCCUAUUUUUGACUCUUGCAGGUGCAGUUCAAUUUUUCACUGUUGAAUUUCAUACAUUUGAAAAGAGCGGAGCAAUUCUUGAGUAUUUUAUUAGCAGUAGUAUUAGUAUUAAGAUUUUAUUUUCCAGAUUUUUAUAGGACUUGCCAUGUGUCAGGCACUAUUCCCAGCUGUUGAAAAACAUUAUUUAAUCCCCAUUAUGAUCAUGUUAGGGAAGUACUGUUGUCACCAUCGUCAGAUGUAAAAUACAGGGAGGUUAAGCAACUUGCCAAAGAUCACACAGCCAGAAGGUGGCAAAGCUGGGCUGUGAACCCAGAUCGGCUGGCUCUGGAGCUCCUGCCCUCUACCAAGAGAGGUGAGACAAACUUCUCUGCAAAACCUUUUCCAGAGCCUUUGGGGCAAACCACUAGGUCCACAAAAAAUAAAGAGGUCGUCUAAGGAAAAAAAUAUUUCAAAAAAAUAUUUGUCUUGCCUUGGGAGCCGGUAUCGGAUGGUGUCUUUGGUGGAUUUCAUGAGUGCAGAGUGCCAUCUUGUGGCAAAGGAGAAUAUAGCUUUUAGCUCUAAAAAAUGGCUCAGGUUGGGAGCUCCCAGUCAUGGCUCCCUGGUAACGAAACCAACUAGUAUCCAUGAGGAGGCGGGUUCGAUCCCUGGCCUCGCUAAGUGGGUUAAGGAUCCAGCGUUGCCAUGAGCUGUAGCGUUGGUCGCAGAUGUGGCUCAGAUCCAAUGUUGCUGUGGCUGUGGUGUAAGCCGGCAACCAUAGCUCCAAUUCAGCCCCCUAGCCUGGGAACUUCCAUAUGCCAUGGGUGCAGCCCUGAAAAAGAAAAAAAUGUAGCCUAGGUUGCCAGCAGACUCUGGUCACGCACUGCUGUUAAUCUGCAGGAGCAGCAGCCCCAUCAAUAAGCAGCCUCUGUAAAGUCAGGCAGAUCUAGAGGAUACUCCUGUAGGGUUUGUUCCUGGUAGAAAUGCAUGGUGUGAACACACUAAGACACGCCAACAACGAGAGAUCAGAACCAGCCACUGGGAGUACUGUGUGUCAGCUGUAAUACUGCUGCCCACUUUACAGAUGGAAAAACUGAGUGCCAGGGAAAUGAAUGUUACAUGCCCAAGAUUACAGAGCUAAUCACAGAGCUGGGAUUCUGGCCAUCUUCUGCCAGACCUCACGCAAACCUCCUCUUUAUGCUGCCACACCAUGGGUAGGGACCUGGGCUCACCACUAGACAGCUUCUCUGAGACCCAGCCCAUACAGCACUUAGCCCUGUGGGGGGGAAUCCCAGGGACUCAUACACCUGCUUUCCUUUCAAAUUAGAAAUGCUCUGGGGAUUCUUAACCCACUGCAGCUCGGGUCUCUGUGGAGGCAUGGUUUCCAUCCCCAGCUUGGGCACAGUGGGUUAAAGAUCUGGUGUUGCCACAGCUGCAGCAUAGGUCGCAGCUGCAGCUGAGAUGCAGUCACUCACCUGGGAACUCCUACAUGCCACAGGUGCAGCCAUUAAAAUAAAAUAAAAUAAAAGUAAAAUAGCGAGUUCCCAUGAUGGCUCAGUGGUAAGGAACCUGGCUAGUAUCCAUGAGGACUCAGGUUCUAUCUCUGACCUUGCACGUUGGGUUAAGGAUGCGGCAUUGCUGUAGCGCUGCAGCAUAGGUCGCCGACACGGCUUGCAUCUGGGUUUGUUGUAGCUGUGGUGUAGGCCGGCAGCAACAGCUCUCAUUCAACCCCUAGCCUGGGAACUUCCAUAUGCCGUGGGUGAGGCCCUAAAAAAAAUAAAAAUUAAUUAAUAAAAUAAGAUAAAAUAAAACAAAGAAAUGUCUGAAUCUCCCCUAGUCGUUUGGCGUUCUGAACGCCCUUCAUCAGCCACAUAAUGUAGAAGUAUAUGGAUUUUUAUUUUCUUACGAAUUCACAAGCAAAUUUAAACUUGAGGGGACCUGCAAGGCAACUUUCCAAAAUACUACUAGUUUUGGACAAAGGACCCCACGAGGUGUCCAUCUCAGACAAGGGUAGCUCUGGGGGCUGAUGCAGCCCGAUUCAUCUACUCCACCCACGAUCCUGCUCUCCUGCUCUCAGUGGCUAUCGCCAUGCUGGUACCUUCAUCUCCAAAGGACUCAGCUCUGCCCCAGGCCUGCAGCAUCAGCCUCCCCCAGCACCCUGUCAGAAGUGCAGAGCCUCAGCCCUGCUCAGCCCUACAAACUGAGACCGCAUCUUAGUAACACUGCGGUGAGGCCCAUGGCAUGCGAGUGUGUGACACGCUGCUGGAGACGCUGGUCGAGGGUGAUGGGCGUGAACUGGGCCCAGAGGCGUGGGGGCUGGGGCAGAACUUACCCACCUUCCAGGCAGCAGGGACAGCAGGACAGGUGAGCCCUGACAGGCUGAGGACAGGAAGGACAGCAGAAAGCAAGGAGCCGGACGAGGAGCUGAUCUGGACUACAACCUGUUUGGAUGUUUGAGGCACCCAGGGGAGGCCACCAUUGAGCACUGAUAGAUGUGGGGCAUUUGACCUCCAUGUACAACCUUGAAAUUCAUCAAGCCUGUGGCCAUCUGUCAAACGACCUCUGAAUUGGAGAGAGAGAAAGGAGGCAGGCUGCUGGUCCCCCCAAGUCCGCUCCCCCUAUUCCGCGGAAUAGCAUUUCUCUUUUGCCCGUGGUCCCCCGGCGGAGGGACGCUGCACCCCCAUCUCCUUUGUUCACCUGACUCAGCGCCAGCCCGUGGAGUGUGAACUUGCAGGUCACUUGCUCAAAUAGGAGUUAACGUCAGUUUUUUUCCUCUCUGUGGUCGUGAUGGUGACCUGUGCAAGUGGGGAAGGGGCAGCAUAGGGACAGUCCUGGGUCCCCACCUGACCAUGUAGCCUCCCCAGACCAUCCUCGUGGAGAGAGAUAUAAGCUGUCUCCAGGUAGUGUUUUGGAGAUAGUUUACAUUUUUUUUAAUGUGCAUUUUUUUAUUUAUUUAUUGGCACACAGAAGUGUCCAGGCCAGGGAUGGAACUCAUGCCACAGCUCUAACCAAAGCCCAAGCAGUGACACCAGCUCCUCAACCCGCUGAUUUUUUUAAUUUUGACAAAACUUCAGACAUAGGAAAGUUGCAAGCAUAGCCCAACCAGGUGUUCCUGUGUAUCCUUCACUUGGUUCCCCCAUUUCACUCCAUUGGUUUUAUCCUUUUCUCUCUUCCUCAAAUAUGUGUAUUUUUCUGACCCACUCGAGACUAAGCCUCAAGCAUGCUGCCUCUUUACCACUGCAUCCUUCAUGUACAUUACCUCAAACAAGGAUAUUUUCCUAAUUCCAUAGACCAUAGCAAAAUAAUCAGUCAGAGAAUUAAUGGUGGUAGAGCUGAAGCUGCUCUCUCUUUAUUUAUUUAUUUAUUUAUUUAUUUAUUUAUUUAUUUAUGUCUUUUUAGGGUCGCACCCGAAGCAUAUGGAGGUUCCCAGGCUAGGGGUCUAGUCCAAGCUGUAGCCGCCGGCCUAGGCCAUAGCCACAGCCACGCCAGAUCCAAGCCAUGUCUGUGACCUACACCACAGCUCAUGGCAAUGCCAGAUCCUUAACCCACGGAGCGAGGCCAGGGAUCAAACCUGCGUCCUCAUGGAUACCAGUCGGGUUCAUUACCACUGAGCCACAACAGGAACUCCAAAAGGCACUAAUUUACCCUUUUCAAGUAGUGAGUGCUCUGCAGAGAGAUGGUGGCAGUCAGCCAGCAGUUUAGACAGCAUCAUUACUGGUACAAAGGCAGAGGUUCCACUGAAGAAAAUUCAGCUGCAAAUCCGAGCCCUGACUUAAGGGCCAUUGUUAGGAAUGUAAUUCAUUCACAUCCCGCCCCUGGUAUUUUGGGUGCACAGGAAAUUUUUCCUAGUUUCCCUGGACUCCCAUUAAACUUGAAUAUUAAUUUUUUAAAUAGCCCAGAGGGGAGCCUGGAUGGUGUAGUUCCCUUUCCAGAGAGUCCACAGCAGGACGAGCCUAGUUUCUGGACAAGGGGAUCGGCAGUUGCUCUAUCCAUUAGGAUGCUUCAGCCUCCACGACAGGUGACCCAACUCUGAGGGACUGACAGGGUCCCCUGCCCAGCUCCUCCCUUUGUGCUGCAUCCCUGAAGGGGCUGAUCCCUCUUCCCAAGAUAAUCUAUUUGACCAGUACCUUCCUCCAGCCGUCCCACCUGGCGACUCCGGCCCAGGGGGAGGAACGUGCAUGCUGGCCCAGGAAGCCAGGACAAAUGAGAAAGAGGCUGGCAACACUGUCAUAUCAGGUGGACCAAAGGCUGGCCCUGGCCCCGGCUUUAGCCGCUGCUAUCCCCAACCUCCCUUCCCAUUCCUCGGUGAAGCCGGGCACAGGCUGCAUCAAGACACUCUGCCCGCCAGGGUUUCCCAGCCUCUCUCCUUCCCCGAGGGUGAUGCUCGAAUGACGAGCUUUGCCCUUGACCUUCACACCGUCCCCUUAAGAAAAAGGCACUAGAUGAAUAAAGGAAGAUGUCUGCUUCACUCCAGGUGGGAAAGGAACAAAACAAAAAGAUGGGGACCCCUGCUUCUCAGGCUUGGGGACCACAUGGGUGACACAGACCAGACCCAGGAAAGAGGAGGAGGGAAAAGGGAAGAAGAGAUGGGUGAUGGGAGGGCCCCUCUAGGCAAUGGGAAGGUGAGGGACCUGCCACACCCAGUCAAGCACCAGCCUCUCCGAAGGUGCAAGGCAGUAUCUAAGCAAGUGAACGGGUGAAGAAGUGAAUCCUAGAAGGGGAGGAGAGGAGUCCCCAUCGCAGUACAUCAGAAAUGAAUUCGACUAGGAACCAUGAGGUUGCAGAUUCGAUCCCUGGCCUUGCGCAGUGGGUUAGGAUCUGGCAUUGCCAUGAGCUGUGGUGUAGGUCGCAGAUGUGGCUCGGAUCCUGCAUUGCUGCUGUGGUGUAGGCUGACAGCCAUAGCUCCGAUUUGACCCCAUAUGCCACAGGUGUGGGUACAGGCCUAAAAACUAAAAAAAAAAAAAAAAAAAAA
rnacentral:lncRNA from 1 species